rnacentral:lncRNA from 1 species
UGUUGUCUUGAGAAUUUUGGUAUUCAAUGGUUAAAACUUAACAAUAUAAUUAUAUCUUUGUUGCAUAGGGCAUAGGAGAUUGGUCUGGGACUACUCUGCUGUCACUGUUUAUGACAUUUAGUUUAUUUCUUUUUACAAGAUAUGUUGUUGUUUUUUCGCUCACGGGUAACCUUGGUUGACGCACGUCCUUCACCGAACAAUCUCCAUCGUGCCUCCUCCAUCUACUCGACACUGGCGAGAUAAACAGUGCCCAGUUGGCACAAAUGAAAGCCAUAAAGAAGAAUUGAAUUGAA